rnacentral:tRNA from 1 species
CGGGACGUGGCGCAGCCUGGUCAGCGCGCCUGCCUUGGGCGCAGGAGGUCCCCGGUUCAAAUCCGGGCGUCCCGACCA